rnacentral:rRNA from 1 species
AGUGAACGCUGGCGGCAGGCCUAACACAUGCAAGUCGAACGGCAGCACAAGAGAGCUUGCUCUCUGGGUGGCGAGUGGCGGACGGGUGAGGAAUGCAUCGGAAUCUGCCCAUUUGUGGGGGAUUACCUCGGGAAACCGGGACUAAUACCGCAUACGACCUACGGGUGAAAGCAGGGGAUCUUCGGACCUUGCGCAGAUGGAUGAGCCGAUGCCGGAUUAGCUAGUUGGAGGGGUAAAGGCCCACCAAGGCGACGAUCCGUAGCUGGUCUGAGAGGAUGAUCAGCCACACUGGGACUGAGACACGGCCCAGACUCCUACGGGAGGCAGCAGUGGGGAAUAUUGGACAAUGGGCGCAAGCCUGAUCCAGCCAUGCCGCGUGUGUGAAGAAGGCCUUCGGGUUGUAAAGCACUUUUGUUGGGAAAGAAAAGCAGCCGGUUAAUACCCGGUUGUCAUGACGGUACCCAAAGAAUAAGCACCGGCUAACUUCGUG